rnacentral:rRNA from 1 species
GAUGAACGCUGGCGGCGUGCCUAACACAUGCAAGUCGAGCGGACCAAUGCUCAUUUCAGCUUUGCUGAUUUGAGCAACGGUUAGCGGCGGACGGGUGAGUAACGCGUGGGCAACCUGCCCUGUGCAGGGGGAUAACACAGCGAAAGCUGUGCUAAUACCCCAUAAGACUACGCUAUCGCAUGAUAGAGUAGCCAAAGCUUUAGCGGCACAGGAUGGGCCCGCGUCUGAUUAGCUAGUUGGUGGGGUAACGGCCUACCAAGGCGACGAUCAGUAGCCGACCUGAGAGGGUGAUCGGCCACACUGGAACUGAGACACGGUCCAGACUCCUACGGGAGGCAGCAGUGGGGAAUAUUGCACAAUGGGGGAAACCCUGAUGCAGCAACGCCGCGUGAGCGAAGAAGGCCUUCGGAUCGUAAAGCUCUGUCCUAAGGGAAGAAGUAUGACGGUACCUUAGGAGGAAGCCCCGGCUAACUACGUGCCAGCAGCCGCGGUAAUACGUAGGGGGCGAGCGUUAUCCGGAAUCACUGGGCGUAAAGGGUGCGUAGGCGGCCGAGUAAGCCAGAGGUGAAAGGCUACGGCUUAACCGUAGUAAGCCUUUGGAACUACUUGGCUUGAGUGCAGGAGAGGAGAGUGGAAUUCCUAGUGUAGCGGUGAAAUGCGUAGAUAUUAGGAGGAACACCAGUGGCGAAAGCGACUCUCUGGACUGUAACUGACGCUGAGGCACGAAAGCGUGGGGAGCAAACAGGAUUAGAUACCCUGGUAGUCCACGCCGUAAACGAUGAGUGCUAGGUGUCGGGGGUUCACACCCUCGGUGCCGGAGUUAACGCAAUAAGCACUCCGCCUGGGG